AAUUUGGGGAUGGGGAGAGUGAGAGGGGUGGGAAGAGUGAAGGGAUGAGUGUAUGGGUGUUGGGAAAAAAACUGGGGAUGAAGAAAACAAUUGGGGAAAAAAAAAUUAGGGUUUGUGGAGGAAACAAGAAAUUUUGAAAGAGAAGUAAGAAAAAUUGAUUACUUCUUUAUUCAUUUUCCUUGACUGAUCUUGAUGCAUGUUAAGCGUGAGAAGUGAUAAUGCAUGUUUGUUCCCUGAAUCUUGUUUUGGAUUAAAGAGUUAUUUGUGUUUUUGUUGGUUAGGGAAGAGGUGGAGGAAAAUUUGGAAUUGUUACGAUUGGUGUUGGAUUUGAGCUUAUCGCUUCUUUUCUGAUACAAGGUUGAAACCCUCAUCCAUGCACUUGAGAAAAUUGCCAAGUUGAAGAUUCCCCUGCUGAUUUGUGCAUAUUUGAACUCUGUGCCUCAAAGACAAUGUUGAGCUUGGUACAGCAUGUGGAAAGUACUUCCGAGUGUCUUGCCUUAGCAUCAUUGAUGCAGGUGAUUCGGAUGUUAUCAAGACGCUACCUGGUGGUCAGUGAAGGAGGGUAGGACGAUACCUCUAUGUUAAGUGUAGUGUUUUGUUUUGAGACUUGUCAAUUGUCAUCUCCGAAUGAAAUUCUCGAUUUUCUUUGACAAUGUUGUGUUGCUAAGUUUCCAAAUGCUUAGAUUCUACUGUAUGUGUAAGGUGAUCUUCAUUGUGACUUGAUGCAUGGCAUCCUGAGAUUCAUUAAAGUUAAUUCUGUUACAUUAGAUA